rnacentral:rRNA from 1 species
UACGUAGGGUGCAAGCGUUAUCCGGAUUUACUGGGCGUAAAGCGUCCGUAGGCGGUAUGGUAAGUGGUGGGUUAAAGACUCUGGCUCAACUAGAGGAAAGCUCGCCAAACUGCCAAACUAGAGCUAGUUCGGGGAUACUGGAAUUCUCGGUGGAGGGGUGAAAUCCGUUGAUAUCGAGAAGAACGCCAAAGACGAAGGUAAGUAUCUAGAACUAUGCUGACGCUCAGGGACGAAAGCUAGGGUAGCAAACUGGAUUAGAGACC